GGUGGGUCUCUGAGUUCCAGGACAGCCUGGUCUACAGAGUGAGCUCCAGGACAGCCAGGGCUACACAGAGAAACCCUGUCUCAAAAAACAAAAAUAAAUAAAAUAAAAUGAAGAUAAUAUUUUUAUAUUCCUAAUUCUAUGGCAACCUUAGAGACAUAAACCUUGCCCUUUGCAAUUCUUCCACACUGGAUCUUUACUAUGAUCUUCCCUCCUUAUUUCUUGGGAACUAUCACCGUGUUUUCUCCCUACACUUUGGCCAUGGCUCCUCCAUGCCACUUUCUGGAACAGACUUCUGGUUGCUGCUGACUGGGCUGGAGGUGGGUGGGCGCCUCAUUUAAAGCUGGGAGAGUCGGGCUCUUUUCCUUUCAGAUAUUUUGCAGACAUGGGAGAUACUGUUUGGAAUGGACCCAGGAAGUAUUCUCUAUACAUGAACCAGAGAGAUAGAGGAACAGUUCUACAGAAAGGGAAGAAUGAGGUGGAGACAGGCGCAGAGAGAGGCAGGCAUCUAGGAAAGUCCGGGAAUAGAGAAGCCUGUCCUGACAUCUUGCCUACCAUGAAGUCACGAAAUCCAAUGAAAGGACUAAAAGGAUUCAGAGUGGCUGAAAGGGGAUUGCCAACCUCAAAGAGGGUAGUCUAGCUGUUUAAAACAGAGCAGAGGGCUCUGGGAAAGGAAAUGUUGUUGGAGAGAUAAGUAAAAAGCCACAGCUCAGAGAUGCCUUCUUUUAAACACAACUGGAACAGCAUGUCCUGCUCAGAUUGUUAUGGAAUCCAUGUGUAUAAGAAAAUGAUCUGAGCACAGCAAUGGCCUGAACAGAUUGAUGGGUCAAAUCUUUAAAAGAACUUUAAGUCAAAGUGUUAGUUCAGUGCAGGUAUGAGCAACCAUCAAUGGUGUUCUCACAUUCAUGCCUUCCCCCUCUGCUUCAUUUCUGCACUUGUAAGCCCCAUGCCUCUGAAAGUCCUGUGAAUCCUGAAUGGAAACUUGGUGCAAUUUCGUCUUGCCACAAAUCUUUCAGUAGCACCUUGGCAUACAGAAGAUAAAGCCCAGGUCCUUACCAUAUUGGCCCUUGGGACUUGUCCUCAUUUUCUCAAACUGAUGUUGGUGCCCAAGACCUGGGUUGCCUCCCUGCCCUUCCCCUUUCCCCUGCCCCUAUAUUUUCUGGGCUCCCAAAGCUCCUGGAGGUUUCUAGUAGCAAGGUGCUUUCCUCUUCUCAAGAGGAAGCCAAGCCAGACUGACUGCCUCUACACCAGGAUGACAGCCCUGGUUCUGCUUUGCUGCUGAACAUCAUUCAUUCAUUCAUUCUUCAUUCAUUCAUUCUAUAAGCAUUUCUUUUGUGUCUACUUUGUGUCAGGAAUUGUGUUAGACUUCAGUGGCUAAGUGACAUAAGUGUUUUUAUUGGGGGGGGGCGUGUUUUAAGACGAAGUUUGUCUGUGCAGCCCUGGCUAUCCUGUAACUCACUCUGUAGACCAGGCAGGCCUCAAACUCAGAGAUCUGCCUGUCUCUACCUCCCAGUGUUGGGAUUAAAGGUGCACGCCAACACUGCCCAGCUGUGACAUAAGUUUAUAACCUGACACUUCUCCUGAAGAUCGGAAAUCUCAUGUGGGCUUUACCUGCUUGAGGUCAGAAGCUUGUGGGCUGUAUUCCUUCUGAUGAACCAGGAGAGUCUGAUUCUCCCACCUUGGGUGUUGCCUGUAUCAUGAUCUCUUCCUCCAUGGUCAAGGCCAGCUCUGCAGCAUCUUCAGCUGUCUCCACUGGGAUCACAUCUCCUUCUCCAGUUCUGAAUUGUCCUCCCAUUGUCUCUAUAGAGAACCUUGUGAUUUCAUUGGCCCCCUGCAUAAUCCAGGAUUAGACCCUUUCUACUUCAAGUUUGUUUGUGUAAUCACACCUUCAAAGUCUCCAUUGCCAUAUAAGGUAAGAUAACACUGAUUCUGAGGCUUUUGGGAGCAGUUUGUUUUGUUUACUAACCUUUUCCUUUGUUGUUAAGUCAGAAGAGGUAGCUGGGAGCUGUGGCAUGCCUAUAGUCCCAGGUACUUGAGAACCUGAGACUGGUUAGGAAGUUGAGGACAAUAUAGUGAAAGACGACAGUCAACUCAAACAAACACAAAACUAAGAACCUCAAAACUAAGAACCACCAACAAAACAAACAACAAGCGAAAUAGAGCCAUCUCAGAUUCUAAUUCUAUUUCUAGGUGUUGGAAUCCAGCAGUGAAUACAGAUGUGUGGUUCCUGCCAUCAGGCGCCUCACACUAUAGGGAGGAGACAGAUGAUAAGCCAACUAAUAGUUAAAUAAUUCAGAAAGCAAAAGGAAGCUAGGGAAAAAUAAAGUUGGUGGGAGCCUGUGAAGGGUGAGGUUG
rnacentral:lncRNA from 1 species